GAUGAAGAACGUAGCGAAAUGCGAUAAGUAAUGUGAAUUGCAGAAUUCAGUGAAUCAUCGAAUCUUUGAACGCACCUUGCACCCUUUGGUAUUCUGAAGGGUAUGCUCGUUUGAGUGUCAUUGUACUCUCACACUUCCGAUCUUUCGAUUGGGAGCGGUGGACUUGGGUGUUGCUGCUUUACUGUGGCUCACCUCAAAUGGAGUAGUGCAACUCUUGGUUGGACAUAGUACGGCGUGAUAAGUGUCUUCGCCGGCACCUCAUAGAGGGUGGCUGAUCAGGAGCUCUGUGCUUCAAACCGUCUUCGGACAACCUCUGACAACUUGACCUCAAAUCGAGUAGGACCACCCGCUGAACUUAAGCAUAUCAAUAAGCGGAGGA
rnacentral:misc_RNA from 1 species